GUAGAUGGCGUGUGAGAGCAGGUGCUCACAGAGUUCAGAAGAUGGUGUUGAGUCCCCUGGAGCUGGAGUUACAGAUAACUGUGAGCCCCGAACCAUGGUGCUUUGCAAGAACCAGGUCCUUUGUAAGAACAGAAAGCUGCUGAAGCGGCCAGUCAUCCGCACAUGUAAAUCUUUAAUGGUGUCCAUGAAAACUGCCGAUCAGUGAGUUAAACACAUCGUAUCACAGAGCACAGGAGUUCUCCCAGCUCUGCGGCUGCGUCCUCAAUGCCCGUCCUCAAUGCCGUCUUUUCUCCCCGGAUCUCAGCCGGGGCUACCAUCCGUUUGCUCACUCAUUACAGGAGCCCCGAGAGCCUGCCCGCUGCACACAGCAACACGGGUCUCUUUCACUGCACACCUGCUUUACACACGCACGGGACCGAAAUUACUGAAUUCCUCAUCGGUGACAUCGUUUCCUAUUUGGGGCUCUGGAUUUGACCCUACAACUUGAUGAGAUGACGGGGAACUUGCUUUUCUAGAUUAAUACUUAACCCCUGCCGUUCUUCCUCAGACAGAGCUUUACACUCACUGGCUUCAUUCACCUGUCCAACUCAACUCUUCCCUGCUUUGAGGACCAAGUCCAUGCCUUGCCUUCCUCUUUACCCCAGUAGGAAAAAGUCAGACAUCUAAAGCCUUAACAAUGUGGGAUUUGACACAGCAAACAGAUCAUGUUCCUACAGAGAAGAUAUGACCCCCACAAGAGAGAUGAAGACUUCGAGGAGCAUUUAUACUGGGAAGGAAGAAACAUCACUUUGGAUCACAGCUGGUGAGAAGCAGAAACCCCAAGACAGACCAGGCCUCUGGCAAGACAUUGAAAUGGGAAGUGAACGGCGACCCUGCCUCUAGGUGUUUGUUUCCUAGGCAAUGGCGGGAAAUGGACACCGCACCAGGGUCCCAUCGUAUUCCCAGGACAAGUGAGCAAAACAAAGAAAUCCUCACUCCUCACCCAGGUGGAACCCAUUCCUGUGAAGAUACUCAAUGCUUUGAGGUUCAAAUGAAGUUGCCUUGAACCUGCUACCUUGCCUGAGACAGGACCGUCCGCAUCUCUCCAGGGAGCCUGGCCUUGGGGAUGAGCUGUGCACUUCCUCUGUCCCUGAUCAACUUCCUGAGUGGAUGACUUUUCCGUCGGUAAUGUGCUGCGGUCCUCAUCCGCACUCCGUUGAACUGAGAUUCAACAGGGCUUUACGGAUGUUUGUGCGCAUGCGUCAGCUUUGCUCGGGUGGGUUUGGAGGUGACGGUGACGCCUCCUCACACUGCCACGGGUGGGUUUGGAGGUGAUGGUGACACCUCCUCACACUGCCACUUUGCUUGGCCCGUUCUCUCUCCUUAAAGGCUCCUCAUAUUUCCAUGUGGCUCCCGUUUUUUUUGUUUUUUUGUUUUUUUUAAAUGUGCUUUGCUAAGAGAGUCAGGGAUUAUUUAUUGUCUUGCUAGGUAAUGAGAAGAACUGGUAGCGGCUUGCCGGUGGCCACCAUUUUCUUCCAGUUCUGUUAGCUAAAGAGGUGGUGUGGAGAACCAUUUUAUUGUCUCUGUGGAUCAUGUCCUCUUCCUCGUGGGCCAGUAUUGACGCUGCUUUUCUUUCUUUGUUCUACCACACUGUAGCCUGUGCUUGUCUCCCGUUCGAAUCCCCUGUCUCAGCCUCCUGGAGAUUUAGAUGACAAGCCUGAGGCGCCGAGCCUGGCGGCUUUGGUUUUAAGUAACAAUAUCUUCUUUCCCAGUUACACAGUGAUUCCAAGACAGUCUCCCAGUCCUCUGAAUUCUUUUUAUCCCCGAGAUGGAUAACGUCAAUCAUAAAUAAUUAUAACAGAGAUAAGGAUAUUAUUGUUAUUAUUGGCAGGAGAUAAAUGUCCCUUCGAGGACAAUUGAAGGCGUUUGAACAGAGGAAUGAUAGGGCCAGAUCAGAGCUUCCAUCUGGGCAGAUGAGAAAAGACUAUGGCAGAGCAAGAGACUCACUGUGGAAGAGGAAGGUCAGAGGAAGUGAGCCAAGACUGUGACAAUGAGAAUUCCGAGAAAGGACUUGAGGCAAGGGCUCAGGGCAGAGGCCCUGGAAACAGAUUUACACGUUGAAAACAGAAUGCUAACCCAAAGCAGGGAGGAACACAGCCGUGUGCAGGGCUACCUAAUUGUAGAUGCGCACAUGUCCAGUGCUGGGGACCCUGCAGGAGUGGUAGGCCGAAGCAGAAUCAACCUGCUGGGCUGUGCAUCACUCAAGAUUAACCACUGAAUUCUCUUGCUAAGUAUGGCCCGAGGGCAUACAACAGGUACCAGUUAUCCAAAUAAAGAAAGGAAAAAGAGGCGCAGGAUCAAAUGGAGCGUCUCUCGGGGAGCAGGCAGGCAAGUCCAAGGGGUUGGGUGGGCAGCAAAGGCAGGACAGACGUCCGAAGUCAAAGGGUGCAUUGUCCCGUACAAUCCACGCUACGUGGCGGUCCAUUCCCCCGUCCCCGACGGGAUGGAGGACAUAUGUCAAGCAGAAAAGAAUUUGGACUUCCAACUCCUGUUUGGUCACAGAAGCCCCGGGAGAGAGUGACUGAACCUUUGCCUGCUGUACACGUGGUGGACAUGGGAAAUGGCAGCGACAUCCAAACAUGCUGUAUCAAUUGCCUUUUGUUGAGUACUUAUUGUUCACGUAGAGGGUCCAGACAAAGUGGUAAAUAAGCCGAUGCUUGAUUCAGCAUCAUUUAUUGGUAGUAAAAGGGGAGCUGCCAUUCUCGUAUGACCCGUGAGCCAGGAAGAGGAGGGGGACACUCCUUGGGGGCAGCGAGUCCACAGAUGUAAGGCUGGCACUCCUAACUGGCACUCGGGACCUCCUUCUAGCAGUCCUCCUGCUCCUGAUGGUAACUACUUUCUCAUCAACUGUCCUGAGCUCUUACACGUCCCUGUGUCCUCCUAUCUGUGGGGCCUUCUCUAGCUGUUGGUUUUAUUCCAUUAGUUUCUCCUGACCUCAGGACUUCAUUUCUUAAACUGGGAAUGGUACCUAAGUAAUAUUUUUUUUUUAAAUUUUUCGAGACAGGGUUUCUCUGUGUAGCUUUGCGCCUUUCCUGGAACUCACUCAGUAGCCCAGGCUGGCCUCAAACUCACAGAGAUCCACCUGCCUCUGCCUCCCAAGGGCUGGGACUAAAGGCAUGUGCCACCACUGCCCGGCUUAAGUAAUAAUGUUUUUCAUGUUCAGACCCUUAUCUUUUUCUUUUUCUUCCAGCUAACAAGCAACUUCCAUUUCUUACUUCUCUCUGAGUUUUGGUAAUGAUCUGCAGGCUUCUCCAUAGACUAUCAGCAGCUUGGGAAUAGCCAUGCCGCUUCAGUCCAUCAAUCUGGAAAGCCACCGCCAAUAACACGUCCCGGAGGGAGUGUGGUGGAUGCCAACUGGAUAGAGCUCCCAUGCAGAACAUAAGCACGUAUUUAUAACUUGGGAAGGUGUUCUUAGUGUGCAGGAGUUUAGCAUCGGCCAUUGGUGACAUUUAAAAGCAAAAAGGACCAUUCAUAGGGGCUCAAGCAGUAAUCAGAGCUGGCUGUAGUCACCUGUCUGUACCCCUGAAUGUGCCUGAGUUUGGCUUGCGGCCCAGUGCUGACCUAGUCAGGGGGCAGCCAGUCAGCCAUCCCACUCGUGGGCCUGUCCUCAUUGUCUUGGCUAAUGUGUUAGCAGACUUAAUUGUUUGUUUCCUCCAAGUCUGGGGGUGUGUCACCUGCCAGGUGGAGCUGGAGAUGACCCACCGGGUUGGCAUUCCAGUCGGGUAAGUUAGCAGUUACUCUCCUCACAGCCUAAGGAACUGGCUUCCCUCUCUACCAACCUGUUGGCCUCUUCUGGCCUUAAGAAGCCAUUCUAAUAUCCUCAGGGGAUUUGUCAGGCCCAGAGUAAGAAUACACCCACCUUUGCCAAGGGCUCUUCAGUUAAUGUCCUACCCCAGCUCACCCAGCACUGUGCUUGCAGUAAUUGGCAGUAAGCCUUAUUCGAAAUAAAGUACCUCCAGUUCAUCUUGGGCCCUCCAAGGGCAGAGAUGCUCUUCUUAGGGAUUCCCCUAAUGCCUAAUCCUAGGAAGUCUUUACAAGUACAUAAAGGUAACCUAGUGCCACUCACGGGUUCACUGGCAAACUCUUCUUUUGGUACACUAUUUAUUCCGUUUUUAAAAGUCAAUAAAGUAGUCAGCAAUGAACAAACACUCAGGGAAAUGAACAAUUCAAGGCAACUGUCAAAUUCCAAUUGGUUGGUGAAGACAUUUACAGUUUGGAGCUUUGCAUGCAGCUCUUUAAAGGGAGUGAUAAGAGUUUACGCCUUGAGCUCUACAUAGAGAGAAGACACCCGGGUAGAGGAGGAAGUUGCUAGUUACAGUGUUGUGCUGAGCUCACAUCAAGCUUCUCUUUCCCCAACUCCUUAUUCAGUUAAAUCACAUUAGAGCAGGAAAUCAUCGGUGUGUAAGUACACCGUGGAAACUGGCCAGCACUGUCAACCACAGCUUUUUCCCCUCCCAAGAGCUAGUUGUUAAUACUCACCAGCACACCGUGGGCAGCGAAGACAGAACACAGAGCUAGAGGUGGAAACUCAUAAGUUGCUGUAGUCUGGAGCUAGAACCAGACUGAAGGUCAGGCUGUAUAGGAGCUUGUAAAGGAGACUAAGGAAUUUUGCAUUUCUUUAUAAUACCAGGGAACUAAUGCCAUUUGAUUAGUUGAGAUGCUUUGGUUAUAAGUCAAAGAACAUUUAAUUCAAAUGCCUUAAACAAUAAGUAAGAUGUAUUAGCUUACGCAACAAGAACUUGCAGUAGCCACACCAGUGUUGGUUAAAUCAGUCAUUUACCAAAGGUCCAGAGUCGUUUUAUUGUUUUUCCUCUGCUGUCUUCUGGAUAUCAGCUAGUCUUCGAACCAGCACAACAGUUCAAAAUCAACAUUCAAAAAGCAGGAAAAAAUACUUUAUUCUUUCUUCCUGUCUCUUUGUAAGAACAAAGACAUCCCCCCUACCCCAAAAAAGCCUCCAAGGGGUAAUGGAAUGUCAUCAUCAUCAGUGUUUCACCAGUAUCCCCCCCCCCCCCCCCACCUCCCUGAAGUGCAGAGCGGAACAGAGAAGGCUUGCUGUUGAAUGUAACCAAGGCUCUAUAAGCACAGAGGAAGGAGGUGGACAUUGGUUAGGAGUCCUAGUUGGCUUUCUGUUGCCAUGAUAAAUACCAUGACCACACACAACUUGGAAAGAAAGACUUCAUGUUAGCUUACAGGCUACAGCCUAUCCUCAAGAGAAGUCGGGGCAGGGACUCCAGCAGGAACCUGGGGCAGGAACUGCAACACAGACUGGAGGACUGCUGCUUACUGACUUGCUCCCUGUUUCUGCUCAGCUACCUUCCUUAUACACUCCAAGCCCGCCUGCACAGGGAUGGCCUACCUAGCGUGGGUGAGGCCCUCCAAACAAACACACACAAAACAUCCACUCCAAAGACAGGAUCCGAUGGAGACAAAUCCUCAUCUGAGGCUCCCUCUCCCCCAGGUGUAUCAAGUUGACAACCAAGAAGAGCUAUCUAGCCUAGACUGCUUUGGUAGAGAGAGGUCUUUGGAGUACCUUAGGAGGUAUAAUCUAGCAAUGAUAUGUAAGCAGACAGAAGGUCCGGGAGUAAAGACGAACAAUAAUACUUGAUGAUGAUGAUGAUGAUCGACGACAACAGGGUCUUGCUUUGUAGUUCAGGCUGGCUUUGAACUUGAAAUCCUUCUACCCUGGCCUCCUGAGUACUGGGAAUUAGUCAUGAACCACAAUACCCGGCUCCUGUUAGACUUUAAUGACGAGUUACUAAAGCCGUGGCUCUCAAUGGCCAAUCUGCUACCAAAUUCAACUAAUAGUGAAUGAAUGACUAUCAUAGGCCGAAUAUUGUUGUAGUAAUUAUACAUAAAAAUGGUGAGCUUACCUCAUGGAGAUUUAGAAUCAAAUGGUAAAGCGAAUAUCAGGCGACUCACAAAUAAAUAUAGCGUUAUAACCUGUUUGAGCACGAUGAAGGAAUCCUGGAUUUUCUCUCCUUUCUUUUUUUCUUUUUAACAGUAACAAAAUUCACCUACAGCAAAUCUAUACAACGUGACAUACAUGGGGCUGGAGCGACGGCUCAGCAUUGAAGAGCACUGGCUGCUCUUCCAGAGGACCCGGGUUCGAUUUCCAGCAUCUAUGGAGCUCACAACCAUUUGUAACUCCACUUCUAGGGGAUAUAAUGCCCUCUUCUAGCCCCCAUGGGAAAACAGGCACACGGUGCACAGAUCUAUAUGCAGGGAAUAUACCCAUAUAUGUGAAAUAAUAACAAUAUUAAGAAAAAACACUCCAAUGUGACAUCCAUGUGUAACAGCUACUAUUAGUACGAACAGAAUAUCCCAUCCUUUAGAAAAUC